rnacentral:ncRNA from 1 species
CCUGUGGAGAGUACUAGAACUUGUGAGUAGUAUCUAGUUUUAUCUAGUACGAAAGCAUACUCGACGAAGUAGGAA